rnacentral:rRNA from 1 species
UACGAGGGGGGCAAGUGUUGUUCGGAAUCACUGGGCGUAAAGGGAGCGUAGGCGGGCUCUUAAGUUGGAUGUUUAAAACCGGGGCCCAACCCCGGCGUGGCAUCCAAAACUGGGAGUCUUGAAUGGAACAGAGGCUAGUGGAAUUGGAGGUGUAGCGGUGGAAUGCGCAGAUAUCAGGAGGAACACCGGUGGCGAAGGCGGGUCUCUGGGCCGAUAUUGACGCUGAGGAGCGAAAGCGUGGGGAGCGAACAGG